UACGUAGGGGGCAAGCGUUGUCCGGAUUUAUUGGGCGUAAAGAGCGUGUAGGCGGUUUGGUAGGUCCGCUGUGAAAACUCGAGGCUCAACCUCGAGACGCCGGUGGAAACCAUCAGACUAGAGUCCGGAAGAGGAGAGUGGAAUUCCUGGUGUAGCGGUGAAAUGCGCAGAUAUCAGGAAGAACACCCGUGGCUAAGGCGGCUCUCUAGUACGGUACUGGACGCUGAGACGCGAAAGCGUGGGGAGCGAACAGG
rnacentral:rRNA from 1 species